rnacentral:rRNA from 1 species
UACAGAGGUCCCAAGCGUUGUUCGGAUUUACUGGGCGUAAAGGGCGCGUAGGCGGCGCAACAAGUCACUUGUGAAAUCUCCGGGCUUAACCCGGAGCGGCCAAGUGAUACUGUCGUGCUAGAGUGCGGAAGGGGCUACUGGAAUUCUCGGUGUAGCGGUGAAAUGCGUAGAUAUCGAGAGGAACACCUGCGGCGAAGGCGGGUAGCUGGGCCGGACACUGACGCUGAGGCGCGAAAGCCAGGGGAGCGAACGGG